rnacentral:lncRNA from 1 species
GGGGUAAAAAGGGGAUAAGGGCAGGAAAAAGAAAUAUGUCUCUGGGCAAUAUAUCAUUUGUGGGUUUAACACAUACAAAGGAAACCAAGUGUAGCUUAUCAGAUUAGGUGAGAAGAAUUCAGCAACAGCAGCUAUUUGAAACCCUUCCCUUUCCCCAAAGUUAAUAUGUACUACCACCAAAGUAAUGCCAAUGAAAGUGCUAGUGUUAAGGCUCCAGCCAAGCUGUUUUUCAGUAGUUUAAUGCCAAGUGCCUGAUACAGUCAUCUGCAAGUCUAAACAAGUGUAUUUAGUUUUUUCUUAUUCUUGUUUUAUUGGGGAGGGUGAAGAUGUAGGGGAGCAGUUGUCAAAACAUGCACAUAUUUUUUAUAGAGAGUACAGUGCACAGUAUUUUAGCUGCAAGUGUGCUCAAAAUGAACAAAAGAAUAGGGAAGACUUGGUAUUGCAAAGAAGAAUGGGUCUCUCCCCUCUGAAAUUCACACCUCUUACUGGAGGAUACUUUCCAAGUUAGGCUGUUAAUUGGGAAGUGUACUCUGAGAUUCUUGGAGCUCCAUGACUGAGGCAAAUUUCAGGGUCUGGGUCUGCAUUAAACCUGUCAACUUGCCCUGAACAAGGAGGAGGUAGCAAGUUCUAUUUACAUUGAAGAACUAUUACAUCAAAAGAGCAGAGAAUUCUAAAGUGGGCAGUUGAUCCCAGGGAGAGCUUAUUAGUAACAUGACAUCACAAGUGGAUAGAAAUUGAAUAUUUGUAGUGCCAAUGGGCAAAUUUUCUCUGUAGUUGUAACAUGGCUGCCCCAUCAUAGAAAGAGGGAAGGGAGAGGCUUAAAAUGAAGGACCCCUGGUGAAGAGUUUCUUUCCCCAGUUGGACCUUGAGUUCUCACUGAGAAAGUAAAACUGGCUUUGCAAUACCAGGACCAGCACUCCCCCAACACACCCUCACCACAAACAAAAUUAAGUCCCUUUAGAAUUAGGGGAAGCAACAAAGUUUUUCUUUUGUGUAAAAUGCAUUUUUUUUCUUUUUCUCUAAUGGCAAGAAUCUCUUUUAUAUUUAUUUUGCACAACCCCCAUUCCUGGAAAUUCUCAUAGCCAAUUGCUUCCCCUCCCAUCAAGGUUUCUCUGUCUCUUUCUUUUAAGACAAAUAAGUUUGAACAGUUUCGGUAAAACUUCACAGGUGUGUAACUAGGAAGACAACAUUUUGAAAGAGAUGCCAUAUGAUGAGGACUCCUAAUGAUCACUGAAAGCAAACAAAUAAAAAUGCCAG